GAUUCUGUUGUUGGUCUUUUGUUUGUAUGCCUAUAUUUUGAUUAGAGGGUUAGAGAAUUGUUUUAUAUUUUUGACGUGUGGUCGCUAUAAAAGCCUUGCUGUAAAAUCCUUGAUCAUUAUAAUGCAUUUGCUUCCUGUGAUUGGAAGGACACUGGAUGUAGGCAGGUUGGCCGAACCAAUAUAAAAACCAGUGUUUGAUUUCUCUUAUCCCUACACUUUUAUUUCUCGUCGACUUCAUUCUACACUUAAUCAACUUCAUUCCACAACAUUUGAAAAUCUUUUUCCUUGCGUUUCAAGAAAGUUUUCAAGGCACAUCCUUUUACGAAAAAGAUUUCAAAAAGACUCUGAUUUUAAGUCACACCAAUUCACCCCCCCCCCCUUCCCCUCUUGGUGUGAGAAACUAAGUCAUACUAUUUUAACAGGAUUUAUGUUGUUUGAGUCCUUAAAAAAUUUGGUGUCAAAGGGUGAUGUGGUUAACAGUGUUGGAAAUAAAGAAUGUUGGAGAGUUAGGAUAUAAAAAUUGGGGGUCACGUUUGUUGUAGAGUGUUGGAGUCUAGUUUGUUGUAGAGUGUUUGAGUUAAGUUUGUUAUAGAUUGGGGGUCAUGAAUGGAGGGUAGUGGUGCUAGAAAUGGAGUAUGUCAGAGAGUUGGGAUGAGUACCUUGAUGAUGAAGAUUUGAACAAAGAAGUCCUCUUAUAAAGAUGAAGUAUGACAAAUAAUUUGUCACGUGUUUUCUAAUAAAAUAGUAACGUGACAUAUUGUCAAGUAAAAAAAAUAAAAUCCUUUAUUAUUGAGGACUUGAUUGAAUUCAUGUAUUUUUUAAGUAUAAGAAUAUAAGAAGGUCAAACUUUGAUAGAGAAAUGAUAAUGUAAUAUGAAGAAAACUUUUGAAUCCUCAUUAUUCCAAC
rnacentral:lncRNA from 1 species